AUGUACCCACGUACAUUCCGGUUCCUCCGCGCCGUCCGCACCCACCUGACGACUGCUCGCUAAGUUUUGUUAGCC
rnacentral:sRNA from 1 species